rnacentral:rRNA from 1 species
AUUGAACGCUGGCGGCAGGCUUAACACAUGCAAGUCGCACGAGUGGCGGACGGGUGAGUAAUGCUUGGGAAUCUAGCUUGUGGAGGGGGAUAACUACGGGAAACUGUCGCUACUACCGCGUACCAUAGGCUGAGCCCAAGUGGGAUUAGGUAGUUGGUGAGGUAAAGGCUCACCAAGCCGACGAUCUCUAGCUGGUCUGAGAGGAGGACCAGCCACACUGGGACUGAGACACGGCCCAGACUCAUACGGGAGGCAGCAGUGGGAAAUAUUGCGCAAUGGGGGAAACCUGACGCAGCCAUGCCGCGUGAAUGAAGAAGGCCUUCGGGUUGUAAAGUUCUUUCGGUAGCGAGGCGUUAACUACAGAAGAAGCACCGGCUAACUCCGUGCCAGCAGCCGCGGUAAUAC